CCUACGGGAGGCAGCAGUGGGGAAUAUUGGACAAUGGGGGGAACCCUGAUCCAGCCGUGCCGCGUGUGUGAAGAAGGCCCUCGGGUUGUAAAGCACUUUCAGUGAGGAAGAACGCCUGGUGGUUAAUACCCAUCAGGAAAGACAUCACUCACAGAAGAAGCACCGGCUAACUCCGUGCCAGCAGCCGCGGUAAUACGGAGGGUGCGAGCGUUAAUCGGAAUUACUGGGCGUAAAGCGCGCGUAGGUGGCUUGAUAAGCCGGUUGUGAAAGCCCCGGGCUCAACCUGGGAACGGCAUCCGGAACUGUCAAGCUAGAGUGCAGGAGAGGAAGGUAGAAUUCCCGGUGUAGCGGUGAAAUGCGUAGAGAUCGGGAGGAAUACCAGUGGCGAAGGCGGCCUUCUGGACUGACACUGACACUGAGGUGCGAAAGCGUGGGUAGCAAACAGGAUUAGAUACCCGAGUAGUC
rnacentral:rRNA from 1 species